CCAACAGGCAGCUCCUGUGGAAAAACAAAGCACAGGGCACUCUCUGGGGUACCCACAGGGCAGCAAAGGGAUUUCAGCAGCCCCGUUAGGAUGUGUGGAUCGCGCGCUCUGCCAGCCCCGUGAGCUGCCGGAGUUUAUCCAGUGGCGAAGCAGCUUGGAAAGCUCUCGGGACAUGUUGUUCAGGCCCUGGGGCAGGGGGAGAAUGCUGUUAAUGUGUCCCUUCCAUGUGUUUUUUUUUUUCUCCCUGACAGCUUUGUGAAGGCGUCUUUGAACUCUGACGUGGAGCCAGAUUUAUUUUCUCAGUGUGAUCCGGACGCGCUUCAGAACCCGCUUCAGUGACAGACAGAAUGGGACACCAGGAACCCGUGCUGGUUGGAUUUUUCUUGUGCUAGAGGUUUUAUCGUCUCCUGUGGCCUAAAAACCAGCCUUUUAUUAGUAAAAUAAAGGGAAUGCUUCCCCAGCGGGUCUGGGCUGAUGCAAAUCCUGCACGGAGAAGUCUGGCUGCAGCUGGAGCGCCUGGGCAGUGCUGGGGCUCAGGGCCUUUCAUCUGUUUUCCCUCUUGCUAUUUAUAGCAUGUGGAGAAGCAACUGGGAUCUGUGUCCCUGCUCCUGUGCCUCGUCCUGGAUGUGAACGUGGUUUCAUGGCUGCAGCGGGGCCAGGGUUUGGAAGGAACAGAGUGAGUCCACAGAGGGCGUGAGGAAGGGCAGCAUGGCUUUGGUUACAUCCCUGGGGAGCAUUCUGUGAUGGCUCCAUCUGGCAUUAACUCUCCUGGCAGCCGAGCCGCACGCGGGAAUGUCUGGGCAGUCAUUGGGCCGUGAUUCAUGGGAGCCCCUGGCCUCUUUCCCAGAGCAGACUCCAUGUCUUUAAAAAAACAGCAAGUGUGGAAUGGCCCGACCACAAAUAUUUCAGCAGAAAACAAUAUCCCCUGCACCUCUCCCACCUGGCUCUGCCACAGGUGGCUUACUCAGUGAUGGCAGAUGAUAAAGUCCUGUUUCCACUG